UACGGAAGGCAGCAGUGGGGAAUAUUGCACAAUGGGCGCAAGCCUGAUGCAGCCAUGCCGCGUGUAUGAAGAAGGCCUUCGGGUUGUAAAGUACUUUCAGCGGGGAGGAAGGCGAUGCGGUUAAUAACCGCGUCGAUUGACGUUACCCGCAGAAGAAGCACCGGCUAACUCCGUGCCAGCAGCCGCGGUAAUACGGAGGGUGCAAGCGUUAAUCGGAAUUACUGGGCGUAAAGCGCACGCAGGCGGUCUGUUAAGUCAGAUGUGAAAUCCCCGGGCUUAACCUGGGAACUGCAUUUUGAACUGGCAGGCUUGAGUCUGUAGAGGGGGUAGAAUUCCAGGUGUAGCGGUGAAAUGCGUAGAGAUCUGGAGGAAUACCGGUGGCGAAGGCGGCCCCUGGGACAAAGCUGACGCUCAGGU
rnacentral:rRNA from 1 species